AGAGUUUGAUCCUGGCUCAGGAUGAACGCUGGCGGCGUGCUUAACACAUGCAAGUCGAACGGGAAUGCCACGCUGAGGAGACUUCGGUCAAAUCUUGUGGCAUUCCAGUGGCGGACGGGUGAGUAACGCGUGGGUAACCUGCCUCACACAGGGGGAUAACACUUAGAAAUAGGUGCUAAUACCGCAUAAGCGCACGGGACUGCAUGGUCCAGUGUGAAAAACCCCGGCGGUGUGAGAUGGACCCGCGUCUGAUUAGCUUGUUGGCGGGGUAACGGCCCACCAAGGCGACGAUCAGUAGCCGGCCUGAGAGGGUGGACGGCCACAUUGGGACUGAGACACGGCCCAAACUCCUACGGGAGGCAGCAGUGGGGGAUAUUGGACAAUGGGGGGAACCCUGAUCCAGCGACGCCGCGUGAGUGAAGAAGUAUUUCGGUAUGUAAAGCUCUGUCAGCAGGGAAGAAAGAGAUGACGGUACCUGACCAAGAAGCCCCGGCUAACUACGUGCCAGCCGCCGCGGUAAUUC
rnacentral:rRNA from 1 species